rnacentral:rRNA from 1 species
CAGCAGCCGCGGUAAUACGAAGGGGGCUAGCGUUGCUCGGAAUUACUGGGCGUAAAGGGCGCGUAGGCGGACAGUUAAGUUGGGGGUGAAAGCCCGGGGCUCGACCUCGGAAUUGCCUUCAAUACUGGCUGUCUUGAGUACGGGAGAGGUGAGUGGAACUCCGAGUGUAGAGGUGAAAUUCGUAGAUAUUCGGAAGAACACCAGUGGCGAAGGCGACUCACUGGCCCGUUACUGACGCUGAGGCGCGAAAGCGUGGGGAGCAAACAGGAUUAGAUACCCUGGUAGUCCACGCCGUAAACGAUGAGUGCUAGUUGUCGGCAUGCAUGCAUGUCGGUGACUCAGCUAACGCAUUAAGCACUCCGCCUGGGGAGUACGGUCGCAAGAUUAAAACUCAAAUAAAUUGACGG